UUACCUACUCUUACCAAGAUGAGUACCUUUGGCUGACUUCAAUCAGCCUUGGAGUAGAAGAAGGAGAUGUGAGUUGUGGCCAAGAAGAAGAUCAAAGAACCAAGACCACGUGGAGGGCACCCAGGCAGCCUGGGAUGGGUCUCAUAUGCUCUUUGUGCCCAGCAGCAUGGAGCCAUGUAGGAGUCUGGUCAAUACCCCAGACUAUGCCUCAUGGUUCAAGCAAGGACAGCACUUGAAUCAAGUCCUGCCUAGCAGCCCAGGUCCCCCAUGGACUAUCCAGCAGGAGGACUCCAGCCGCACCCAGAGGCUUUGCUAAGCCUAUCCAGAUUUUCUGACAUGGAAAUCCCACUUUUCAAUGGCCCUGUGUUUUAGUAAGCCCCUUCAAAACAAAAGACAAAGCUCUUGACACCCAGAGCAGGUGUAGAAGGGAAAGUCUUGCUCCCAGUCCUAGAGUAAAACUGGGCAAUAUCACACCAUCCAACUACAUGGCCUUAUGCCGACAAAUCUACUAACGCGUGCACUCAAUUUUCCUAGGAGUCAAUACCUUUGUCAAGGCCACCAGAGCUCCCAAGA
rnacentral:lncRNA from 1 species